UACGGAGGAUCCAAGCGUUAUCCGGAUUUAUUGGGUUUAAAGGGUGCGUAGGCGGCCUGUUAAGUCAGAGGUGAAAGACGGUAGCUCAACUAUCGCAGUGCCUUUGAUACUGACGGGCUUGAAUGAACUAGAGGUAGGCGGAAUGAGACAAGUAGCGGUGAAAUGCAUAGAUAUGUCUCAGAACACCGAUUGCGAAGGCAGCUUACUAUGGUUUUAUUGACGCUGAGGCACGAAAGCGUGGGGAUCAAAC
rnacentral:rRNA from 1 species